GGCUGCCGCCCUUCCCCCACCCACGCCGGCGGGAGCCGCCCGUUCGCGCUGCCAGCAGCUUCCGCCUGCUACGGUCCUGGCAAGCACCUCGGGAUCCCAUUCCUUCACAGGGACCCUAGCCAGGCAAGCGCGCGCCUCACUGUACCGGAGAGCUCCAAGCACGCGCUUGGUCUGGGGCCCGGACGCUACAUCUGGGAAGGGGUGGGUGGCUGGGUAGAUAGGCGAGGAAGGAUCGUCUCUACCCUCUCUCAAGUAGCUGAGGCCUCCGAAACCUUCCCUAGCUGGAUUUGGGGACAGAGGAGCGCUGUUAAAGCUGAUACAUUCCUGUGGGUCAACUAUGCAACUAACUCAGAUUUUGAGCAAACAAAGCUCUCAAGUUGGUGAUCCUCAGGAGUCUCUGCAUUAGUUGGACAGCUCUUCUGGAAUUAUCUUCUAAGUCAACUGUGGGUUGGGUAGGUGGCUCUGCUGAUUUUUCGCUGGACUUCCACAUUUGGGACGAGUUGGCUGUCAUCAGCUCUAGAAAGGGUGUGGCCGUUUUACAUUGGCUGUUUUCCUCACAUUCCUCAAGCAGGUACUGUAAUAAAGAACUGGAGAAAUACAGUCAGAUGGGAAGUAGCCCUUGCUGUCAAGGAGCUUGCCAUCUAAUGGGGGAGACAGGCAAGUAAACCAAAGACUACACAGUGCAGUAUGGUAAGUGCCAUGAUUUUGAUGUGACAGGGCACAGUGGACGACCUUCCAAAUCAAAGCAAGUAACUAGGGGUUGACAAUGGUAAGUAUCAUAGUUGAAGUAUCCUUGAACAAGGUUUCAGGAAGAAGAAGAAGGGAAUUUCAUGCAGGGAAACAGCCAAAGCUCAGUGAGUCAAAAUAUCACAGCAUUCUUGGUAAGCCCAAUUGUUUUUUCUGUUUUGCUAUUUUGGUGGAGAGAAAGGAACACAUAAAGGAAUAACAUGAGAGAAGGCUAUUUGGGGAAGUGUAGUAGUUAAGGUUCUGGCUCAAACAACAACUGCAGCUCAUAAAGUUGACUUUAGUGGAAGGAUACUGGGGUAUCUCAUGGAAUCUUGGGAACUGUUGAAUAACCAGGGAAACUCUGGGAAACUCACUGGUAGGAAUCCAUAAACUGUCCUCCUGGUGGGCUGUAAACAACUCACCCUCUAUGCAUCUCACAUCAAAAUUCCAGUUUCUUGGGAAAACAAGUCUGUUUGCCCAAUUUGGGUCAUAUUUCCACGUCCAUGUUACUCAGGCAUGAUUCAUCUGCAAGUUAUGUGUAUAGAUAUUUUGCUACUGUUCCACCCUUACGCUGUGCUGGGGAGGGAGGUGUCACUGUGAGCUGUGUCGGUGCCUUAAGAGAUAUCUGUUGUGUCUUAUUACUUGGUUGCUUUUCCCCACAUGUACAAUGACAAAAAUGCCUUCAACCUAUUUGAUCCAGCCGUUCCAGUACAACUCCUAUACUUGCCAUCUUUCCAAGCCCAAAGGUACAUCCAGCUGAUGGAAGGAGCAUCUUGGUGUUAAUAUUCUUUUAGUCAUGGUCUCUGAAAGUAAAAUGUCUAUUCUUCUAAUUCUGGCACAAUCUUAUCUAGCUAUAGUUCCUCAUGGUCCUGCACUCCAUGGACUAAAUUGUAAGUAUAAUUACUACCAAUGUACUCUAUAAAUAACUUUUGGGGCCAGGGUGGCAAUAGUUGCUAGAGAGAAAAAAAAAAAAAAGGAAGGAGAAGAAAACAGUGAUAGUUCUUAUUUUAAAAGGAAAAAAAGAGGCAGGAGGCUCUCUUGAGGCCAGGAGUUUAAGACCAGCCUAGGCAGCAUUUCAAGACCCUGUCUCUACUAAAAAGUAAAAAAAAAAUUUAGUCAGGCAUGGUGGCAUGCACCUGUAGUCGUAGCUACUCAGGAGACUGAGGUGGGAGGAUUGAUUGAGCUCAGGAGUUUGAGGCUGCAGUGAGCAAUCAUCAUGCCAUUGCACUCCAGCCUGGGCAUCAGAGCAAGACCUUGUCUUUUAGGAAAAAAAGGCAGGGAAGAGGAAUAGGUAAUUUUUCAGUGUUCAGACAUUCCAGCAAUAUGUGUGGAGUACUCAUUCUCACUACAGUUUAUGAGGCCAUAGCUAGUAUGUAUGACUACCCAUCCAAGUUUCCCUGCUUACAGUUACUAUUCCAACUGAUUGGGGGGCUUUUCCUAAUAGAGUGAUUUAAGCCUUCAUUUUUAGACAUCUAAGCCCUUGGUGAUCAUCAGCAUAAAAUGUGACAAAUUAAACAAAAGCAAGACAGCACAUCAGAGAACAACUCUGAGGUGGAAUGAUUGGGAACCAAUGAAUAGUUGUUCAGUAAAUGGUUUAUAUUUUACAGAUGAUGAAACUGAAACACAAAAAAUUUAGAUUAACUCUUAGGUGACAAAGCCAGGAUUGAAGCUCAUGCGGUCUGGCUCCAGAACAACUCUUCUUCAUAGUUACGUUAUACUGCCCCUGCAUUGUUGGUAUUGAAAGUAAGUGUAGGCCCUGGGCCUUCUAUACCUGGGAUUAAGUCACAUAUUCCUCUUCCUCUUCAAAUUUUACUAGUCUUGUGAGCGAGAAAAAGCUACUGAAUUUUUCUAAGCUCAGUCUUUUUCAUUUAUGAAAUAGAGAUAUCCUUUGUGGGCCGGUUGCCGUGGCUCACGCCUGUAAUCCCAGCACUUUGGGAGGCCGAGGUGGGUGGAUCACGAGGUCAGGAGAUCAAGAUCAGUUGAAACCCCCUCUCUACUAAAAAUACAAAAAAUUAGCCAGAUGUGGUGGCGGACGCCUGUAGUCCCAGCUACUCGGGAGGCUGAGGCAGGAGAAUGGCGUGAACCCGGGAGGCGGAGCUUGUAGUGAGCCGAGAUCACGCCACUGCACUCCAGCCUGGGCGACAG
ensembl:lncRNA CCDC18-AS1 CCDC18 antisense RNA 1